AGUGAGCGCUGGCGGUAGGCCUAACACAUGCAAGUCGAACGGCAGCACAGUAAGAGCUUGCUCUUACGGGUGGCGAGUGGCGGACGGGUGAGGAAUACAUCGGAAUCUACUUUUUCGUGGGGGAUAACGUAGGGAAACUUACGCUAAUACCGCAUACGACCUACGGGUGAAAGCAGGGGAUCUUCGGACCUUGCGCGAUUGAAUGAGCCGAUGUCGGAUUAGCUAGUUGGCGGGGUAAAGGCCCACCAAGGCGACGAUCCGUAGCUGGUCUGAGAGGAUGAUCAGCCACACUGGAACUGAGACACGGUCCAGACUCCUACGGGAGGCAGCAGUGGGGAAUAUUGGACAAUGGGCGCAAGCCUGAUCCAGCCAUACCGCGUGGGUGAAGAAGGCCUUCGGGUUGUAAAGCCCUUUUGUUGGGAAAGAAGAGCAGCAGGUUAAUACCCCGCUGUUCUGACGGUACCCAAAGAAUAAGCACCGGCUAACUUCGUG
rnacentral:rRNA from 1 species